rnacentral:piRNA from 1 species
UCAGAAAGUUCUAAAUCGCCA